UGGCUGAAGUUUUAAGCGAUAAAUUGUAAAUUUAUUUAUAGAAAAUUAUUUCUUUUUAUUA
rnacentral:tRNA from 1 species